rnacentral:rRNA from 1 species
GAUCCUGGCUCAGGAUGAACGCUAGCUACAGGCUUAACACAUGCAAGUCGAGGGGCAUCAGGGUGUAGCAAUACACCGCUGGCGACCGGCGCACGGGUGAGUAACACGUAUCCAACCUGCCCUUUACUCGGGGAUAGCCUUUCGAAAGAAAGAUUAAUACCCGAUGGUAUAACAUGACCUCCUGGUUUUGUUAUUAAAGAAUUUCGGUAGAGGAUGGGGAUGCGUUCCAUUAGGCAGUUGGCCGGUAACGGUCCG